rnacentral:rRNA from 1 species
AGUGAACGCUGGCGGUAGGCCUAACACAUGCGAGUCGAACGGCAGCACAGUAAGAGCUUGCUCUUACGGGUGGCGAGUGGCGGACGGGUGAGGAAUACAUCGGAAUCUACUCUUUCGUGGGGGAUAACGUAGGGAAACUUACGCUAAUACCGCAUACGACCUACGGGUGAAAGCAGGGGAUCUUCGUACCUUGCGCGAUUGAAUGAGCCGAUGUCGGAUUAGCUAGGUGGCGGGGUAAAGGCCCACCAAGGCGACGAUCCGUAGCUGGUCUGAGAGGAUGAUCAGCCCCACUGGAACUGAGACACGGUCCAGACCACAACGGGAGGCAGCAGUGGGGAAUAUUGGACAAGGGGCGCAAGCCGGAUCCAGCCAUACCGCGUGGGUGAAGAAGGCCUGCGGGUUGUAAAGCCCUUUUGUUGGGAAAGAAAAGCAGCAGGUUAAUACCCCGCUGUUCUGACGGUACCCAAAGAAUAAGCACCGGCUAACUUCGUG